GGCUCAUUAGCUGAGAGGCGUAGCGGGAGACUCUAAAUCUCUGUCCACACCAGUUCGAAUCUGGUAUGAGCCAC
rnacentral:tRNA from 1 species